rnacentral:rRNA from 1 species
GAUGAACGCUGGCGGCGUGCCUAAUACAUGCAAGUCGAGCGAACGGACGAGAAGCUUGCUUCUCUGAUGUUAGCGGCGGACGGGUGAGUAACACGUGGAUAACCUACCUAUAAGACUGGGAUAACUUCGGGAAACCGGAGCUAAUACCGGAUAAUAUUUUGAACCGCAUGGUUCAAAAGUGAAAGACGGUCUUGCUGUCACUUAUAGAUGGAUCCGCGCUGCAUUAGCUAGUUGGUAAGGUAACGGCUUACCAAGGCAACGAUGCAUAGCCGACCUGAGAGGGUGAUCGGCGACACUGGAACUGAGACAGGGUCCCGACUCCUACGGGAGGCAGCAGUAGGGAAUCGUCCGCAGAGGGCGAAAGCCUGACGGUGCAACGCCGCGCGAGUGAUGAAGGUCUUCGGAUCGUAAAACUCUGUUAUUAGGGAAGAACAUAUGUGUAAGUAACUGUGCACAACUUGACGGUACCUAAUCAGAAAGCCCCGGCUAACUACGUG